AACGAACGCUGGCGGCGUGGAUAAGACAUGCAAGUCGGACGAGACUUUUCGUUGUAGCAAUACGAUGGAAAGUCUAGUGGCGAACGGGUGCUUAACACGUGGGCAACCUGCCAGGAAGUGGGGGACAGCUCGCCGAAAGGCGGAUUAAUACCGCAUGUGAUUAGAGAGGACAUCCUUUCGAAAUUAAAGUCGGGGCAACCUGACGCUUCUGGUGGGGCCCGCGGCCUAUCAGCUAGUUGGUGAGGUAACGGCUCACCAAGGCUUUGACGGGUAGCUGGUCUGAGAGGACGACCAGCCACACUGGGACUGAGACACGGCCCAGACACCUACGGGUGGCAGCAGUCGAGAAUUUUUGACAAUGGGGGAAACCCUGAUCGAGCGACGCCGCGUGGAGGAUGAAGGUCUUCGGAUUGUAAACUCCUGUCAUUGGGGAACAAUGCGCAAAUAGUAACUGUAUUUGUGUUGAUAGUACCCGAAGAGGAAGAGACGGCUAACUCUGUGCCAGCAGCCGCCGUAAUAC
rnacentral:rRNA from 1 species